CCUACGGGGGGCAGCAGUGGGGAAUAUUGCUCAAUGGGCGAAACACUGAUCCAGCGACGCCGCGUGAGUGAGGAAGUAAUUCAUUAUGUAAAGCUCCAUCAGCAGGGAAGAAAAUGACGGUACCUGAGUAAGAAGCCCCGGCUAACUACGUGCCAGCAGCCGCGGUAAUACGUCGGGGGCAAGCGUUAUCCGGAUGUACUGGGUGUAAAGGGGGCGUAGACGGCAGUGCAAGUCUGGAGGGAAAGGCGGGGGCUCAACCCCCGGACUGCUCUGGAAACUGUACGGCGGGAGUGCAGGAGAGGUAAGUGGAAUUCCUAGUGUAGCGGUGAAAUGCGUAGAUAUCAGGAGGAACACCAGUGGCGAAGGCGGCUUACUGGACUGUAACUGACGUUGAGGCUCGAAAGCGUGGGGAGCAAACAGGAUUAGAUACCCCAGUAGUC
rnacentral:rRNA from 1 species